CCUACGGGUGGCAGCAGUGAGGAAUAUUGGUCAAUGGACGAGAGUCUGAACCAGCCAAGUCGCGUGCAGGAUGACUGCCCUAUGGGUUGUAAACUUCUUUUAUAUGGGAAUAAAAUGUUCCACGUGUGGGUUUUUGUAUGUACCAUAUGAAUAAGGAUCGGCUAACUCCGUGCCAGCAGCCGCGGUAAUACGGAGGAUCCGAGCGUUAUCCGGAUUUAUUGGGUUUAAAGGGAGCGUAGGUGGAUUGUUAAGUUAGUUGUGAAAGUUUGCGGCUCAACCGUGAAAUUGCAGUUGAUACUGUCAGUCUAGAGUACAGUAGAGGUGGGCGGAAUUCGUGGUGUAGCGGUGAAAUGCUUAGAGAUCACGAAGAACACCGAUUGCGAAGGCAGCUCACUGGGCUGCAACUGACACUGAGGCUCGAAAGUGUGGGUAGCAAACAGGAUUAGAUACCCCAGUAGUC
rnacentral:rRNA from 1 species